GUCCCCUGAAGGUACUCACAAGUGUCCAAUGAUCGCGUGACUGCGAAGAACAGCAGAGUUUCAGAAAACUGCACAAAACAAAGCCUUUUUUUUAAGUCGGCUUCGCCCAGCGUGUAGCCCCGCGGGGUCUUGAACUCGGGAUUCUGCAAUCAACACCUGAGCUGAGAUCAACAGUGGAUCGCUCAAUGGACUGAGCCACCCAGGCCCCCCCCCCCACUGCCUUUCUUUAUAGUUUUAUCAUUCAAACGUGCAUCCAUAACCCUGUAGUUUCCUUUUGUAAAAGUCACUUUUCAUGGGGUUCCCCAUCCCUCCCUUUUGCCUUCAGAGCGCCCCCCAACUCCCUGAAAUGAUGUUCUGACCUUCCCAGUACCUACGCUUGGAGGUUCGUGUUGGCGGCGCGUCUUAUGACCGGUGAUGUAAGCUUAGAUCACUUAGUUAACAUGGUUUCUGCUGUUUCUCCA